UUUGCAUUUAAAAUGGUAUUUUCAAGUAAUUUGAUGAACUUCUGGUUUAAGCCACGCCCACUUCCGGAUCUAUACGAAUACAUAUACAGAUACAAAUAAUGAGAUUGUCACAGAUACAGAUACAAAUAAUGGCUCCGCUGCACACCCCUAGUAGAUAGUAUAUAUAAUGGGUUCUAUGUUGUCUGUUGUCGAGUGGCACGGCGCGAGGAAGUCACGGACGGGUUUUCCCCAGGGAUGAACCCGCGAGAGUGGAAGAGCUCCGGAAAACAUCUGCACUGUGUGUCGAUGCACCUUAUGAGAGAAUGAGACCAGCAAGCAAGGCAACUGCAAUGAAGCAUCAAGAAAGACAUGGACAUGCCAGCCACCCUGAGACUGAUAAUUCAUGAGAAGACAUUUCUGUGACUAACAAAGUGGAUGGAGCAGCACCUGGGUUUUGCAGAUAGCUAUGUAUUCUUUGGCUGCUUGUCUUUCCCCCCCCAUUAUGUUUCUGUUGCCUAAAUAUUCUUUGUAAGGAUGAAUCCAGAGGACACAACAUAAUGCACUGCAAAACGUCCUAAGACAGGAGAAAUGGUGAAGAUGCACUGUUCCAGCAUUGGAAGUCUGUAUUUUUAAGUGUUAUACAUGCAAUGUUUUAAAUAAAGAAUUUUAUAUUUUGUAA